AUGAUCGCUUUACCAAUAGUUGAGACUCAAUCUGGAGAUGUUUCAGCCUAUAUUCCUACUAAUGUAAUCUCCAUUACAGAUGGACAAAUAUUCUUAUCUGCGGAUCUAUUCCAUGCCGGAAUUCGACCCGCUAUUAAUGUGGGUAUUUCAGUUUCCAGAGUAGGAUCCACGGCUCAAAUUAAAGCCAUGAAACAAGUAGCUGGCAAAUCCAAAUUGGAACUAGCUCAAUUCGCAGAGUGACAAGCCUAUUUCGCCUCUGCUCUCAAUAAAACAAGUCAGAAUCAAUUGGCAAGGGGUCGACGAUUAAGGGAAUUGCUUAAACAAUCCCAGGCAAAUCCUCUCCCAGUGGAAGAGCAGAUAGCUACUAUUUAUACUGGAACAAGAGGAUAUCUUGAUUCGUUAGAAAUUGAACAGGUAAAGAAAUAG
rnacentral:rRNA from 1 species